rnacentral:lncRNA from 1 species
CAUCACAUAACAGGCAGGCUUUUAACCAAUGGGGGUGUCUCAUAAACAUGAUGUUUAUUAAAUUUAAGAAAAUAAAUUGUUUUUAAUCUUGAUUUUAAUUCUAAUAAAUGUUCAGUUUUUUAAAAUACAGUUUUAAUGGUAUUUUUAACAACCGUGAUGAUUUUAUAAUUUUAAUGGUGGCUGUGAGCUGUUUUGGGUUCCCCAUGGGAAGAACAGUGAAGUAUAACUAAAAAUAAACAAUUCCCACUAAAUUGUACGGAAUUUACUCCAAAGGAGCCGAAUGGCAGCAGUAGUGCAAAUACGGCUCGACUCCAAGCCGGGCUGAAAUCCGGGGGUCCCCAUCCCUCCAUCACCCCUCUAGGCAGCCACAGAUGGUGGAGUUGGUGUUCAACAGGGGCAGCGUGAACACCUAGGCCCCAGGGGUAAUGAUGGCCAGGUUCUCGCUCUUCACCCCAAGGGUAUUCCCAUGGUGUCAUCAUCCUAACAAUCUGUAGCAAACCAACAGAUCACUGGCCAUUGUUAUGUUCUGAACGUUUGAUGGUUAGUUAACCUUAGGAUUCCAACACCUCUUUAAGCACAUUUUUAAAAAAACUUCGCCAAUGAUGCAAAGCCUGCCUGCACGACUCUUUUCUCACGCACGCCGCGUGCGCAAAAAAAGGCUUCCUCACGUUCGCCUUCCCAGCUCAAGGAUCCGGCCUUCUUCUUUUUUUUCCCCUUUCCUCGGAGCCGCUGGCGGGAGAAGGGUUAAUACCAUGGAGCGGGAACCGCCAUGGUGGGGGCGGGCGGGAGACAGGAUGCGCGGAGGGGCCCUUUCCUGUCCCUGCACUCGCCCCUGCCCACCCAGGCGCGCGGAGGGUGGUUCCUUUUGCCUUCCAGGCCUGAGGUUGGAAUGCGCCUUUGCAAAGGCGCGCAACCCCCCCCCUUUUGGAUCCCUGCGUAGGGGCUGCAUCGAUUAUGAAUGGAAAGAAAGCAGUGCAGAAGAAUCGUUGAGAGAAGGCUGAAAACAGAACAGACAGCUCCCCCAAAGCACAACAUCUGAUUUAAGAGAGUGUCCAAAGAUUGUUUUCUGAAGUAACUGUGAUAGGUCACUCUCUAUACUCAGAAGGACAUCUCCUUAACCACUGCGGGAGAGUUGUGUCAAGGCAGGUGCCUAUUUCUCGUACAAGAC